rnacentral:rRNA from 1 species
UACGUAGGGGGCAAGCGUUGUCCGGAAUCAUUGGGCGUAAAGAGCGUGUAGGCGGCCCGAUAAGUCCGCUGUGAAAGUCCAGGGCUCAACCCUGGAAUGCCGGUGGAUACUGUCGGGCUCGAAUCCGGAAGAGGUGAGUGGAAUCCUGGUGUAGCGGUGAAAUGACGCAGAUAUCAGGAGGAACACCAAUGGCGAAGGCAGCUCACUGGGACGGUAUUGACGCUGAGACGCGAAAGCGUGGGGAGCAAACAGG